CACGUAGGGCGCAAGCGUUGUCCGGAAUUAUUGGGCGUAAAGAGCUCGUAGGCGGUCUGUUGCGUCUGCUGUGAAAACUCGGGGCUUAACCCCGAGCCUGCAGUGGAUACGGGCAGACUAGAGGUAGGUAGGGGAGAAUGGAAUUCCCGGUGUAGCGGUGAAAUGCGCAGAUAUCAGGAGGAACACCGAUGGCGAAGGCAGGUCUCUGGGCCACUACUGACGCUGAGAAGCGAAAGCGUGGGGAGCGAACAGG
rnacentral:rRNA from 1 species